rnacentral:rRNA from 1 species
UUAGAGUUUGAUCCUGGCUCAGGACGAACGCUGGCGGCGUGCUUAACACAUGCAAGUCGAACGGGGUGUUUAUUUCGGUAAACACCAAGUGGCGAACGGGUGAGUAACGCGUAAGCAAUCUACCUUCAAGAUGGGGACAACACUUCGAAAGGGGUGCUAAUACCGAAUGAAUGUAAGAGUAUCGCAUGAGACACUUACUAAAGGAGGCCUCUGAAAAUGCUUCCGCUUGAAGAUGAGCUUGCGUCUGAUUAGCUAGUUGGUGAGGGUAAAGGCCCACCAAGGCGACGAUCAGUAGCCGGUCUGAGAGGAUGAACGGCCACAUUGGGACUGAGACACGGCCCAGACUCCUACGGGAGGCAGCAGUGGGGAAUCUUCCGCAAUGGGCGAAAGCCUGACGGAGCAACGCCGCGUGAACGAUGAAGGUCUUAGGAUCGUAAAGUUCUGUUGUUAGGGACGAAGGAUAAGGAUUAUAAUACAGUCUUUGUUUGACGGUACCUAACGAGGAAGCCACGGCUAACUACGUGCCAGCAGCCGCGGUAAUACGUAGGCGGCAAGCGUUGUCCGGAAUUAUUGGGCGUAAAGGGAGCGCAGGCGGGAAACUAAGCGGAUCUUAAAAGUGCGGGGCUCAACCCCGUGAUGGGGUCCGAACUGGUUUUCUUGAGUGCAGGAGAGGAAAGCGGAAUUCCCAGUGUAGCGGUGAAAUGCGUAGAUAUUGGGAAGAACACCAGUGGCGAAGGCGGCUUUCUGGACUGUAACUGACGCUGAGGCUCGAAAGCUAGGGUAGCGAACGGGAUUAGAUACCCCGGUAGUCCUAGCCGUAAACGAUGGAUACUAGGUGUGGGAGGUAUCGACUCCUUCCGUGCCGGAGUUAACGCAAUAAGUAUCCCGCCUGGGGAGUACGGCCGCAAGGUU